AAUUUCCUUUACUUGCCCAAGUUGGUAGAAACAAAAGCUGAUCUGUUACAUUUUGGACCCCCUUCCCACUAAUGGAAGCCAGAGUCCAGAGUCGUCUAUUUAAGGGACAAGCUAAUUUGAAAGCACAAACAUCCUCAGCAUCAUCUACUCUCUCUAGCAAUAAGCUCUUAACAAAGAAUACAAACAACUGAUCGGAUCAUCUUUCAUUUCCUUGAAAACUAAUAAAAAAUGAAGUUGUUGAGUUUGGGGAAGAGGAUUGUUGGGAGCUCAUCAACCACCGGAACUUCUUCCUCCUCCUCUUCCACGUCAUCAGACAUUUUUGGUGGGCAGGACAAAAAGAUGGCAGCAGUGAUGGGUUCCGUUCCAAAGAAGUUGGUUUAUAAGUUCAAGUCACAGUUGAAGCAGGCUGCUAUUGGUUUCCAGAAGGACAGCGCUACUUCUGCUAAUUACAGCUACGAUAUACAGAGCUAUUCUCUCAACUUUGAUGAUGGUCUCUGCAAAUAAUUAGGAUCAAGUCAAGUGCAUAGGAUAACCCAAUUCCUGUAUAUUGUAUGCUAGGUUAGGAAUUGUAACUGUUCAUCUUAUGUUAUGAAACUAUUCUUCCUUCUUUAGCUAGCAACUAAGAUUCUGGUGUAUACAAUAUUUCUUCAAAUGAAAUCUUUAUCUAAAUUAUGCAUGCGCAAGUAUAUAGUUUUAAUUUUGAAGGUUACGUUAGGCUAACUCCUAAACUUGCAAAAUGUAAGCUCCAAAAAGCACAUCCAACUCAAUUUGCAUAAUACAAGCUAACUUGUUAAAUUUAUAAAAUAUAAGGGCUAAAGUUGCAAAAACAAGAAAAUAUAGAAGCUGCUAAACAAGGCCGCUGAAAUUAUGGAAAAGAAAGGACACAACUUGGCAUUUGGAAAUAUGAAAUUAAUAAAAACAAAGGCAGAUGCUGUGGCGGAUGUGUAUAGCACGCACCAAUCAUUUCAUUACGUGUCAGUGUGUUUGACUCAAACGCUAUCUGAUGUCCACUUACUAUUUAAGUUUUCAUUUUUGCUGUUUUGUGUUUCAUCUUUCAAGUUCUUUG
rnacentral:lncRNA from 1 species